rnacentral:lncRNA from 1 species
CCAGUAAUUACAGUGGAAAAUAUUUUCUAAAAAUUUACAAAAAUUUAUGAAAAAUGUUAAAAAUUAACUAUAAAGGGCAAUAACUCCUUAAGGGGUCAAUUGACUAUUUUGGUCAUGUAAACUUAUUUGUAGAUCUUAUUUUACUGAACGUUAUUGCUGCAUACAGUUUAUCUCUAUCUAUAAUAAUAUUCAAGAUAAUAACAAAAAACGGCAAAAUUUCCUUAAAAUUACAAAUUCAGGACAGUAACCUAACAACGGGUUGUCCGAUCCAUGUGAAAA